rnacentral:rRNA from 1 species
CUGCAACUCGCCUGCAUGAAGCUGGAAUUGCUAGUAAUCGCGGAUCAGCAAGCCGCGGUGAAUACGUUCCCGGGCCUUGUACACACCGCCCGUCACACCAUGAGAGUCGGGAACACCCGAAGUCCGUAGCCUAACUGCAAAGGGGGCGCGGCCGAAGGUGGGUUCGAUAAUUGGGGUGAAGUCGUAACAAGGUAAC